rnacentral:rRNA from 1 species
CCUACGGGAGGCUGCAGUGGGGAAUAUUGGACAAUGGGCGAAAGCCUGAUCCAGCCAUGCCGCGUGUGUGAAGAAGGCCUUCGGGUUGUAAAGCACUUUCAGUGGGGAAGAAAGCCUUGGGGCUAAUACCCUCGAGGAAGGACAUCACCCACAGAAGAAGCACCGGCUAACUCCGUGCCAGCAGCCACGGUAAUACGGAGGGUGCGAGCGUUAAUCGGAAUUACUGGGCGUAAAGCGCGCGUAGGCGGUCUGAUAAGCCGGUUGUGAAAGCCCCGGGCUCAACCUGGGAACGGCAUCCGGAACUGUCAGGCUAGAGUGCAGGAGAGGAAGGUAGAAUUCCCGGUGUAGCGGUGAAAUGCGUAGAGAUCGGGAGGAAUACCAGUGGCGAAGGCGGCCUUCUGGACUGACACUGACGCUGAGGUGCGAAAGCGUGGGUAGCAAACAGGAUUAGAUACCCUGGUAGUC